rnacentral:rRNA from 1 species
AUAUGAGGCCUCGUAAUCGGAAUGAGUACACUUUAAAUACUUUAACGAGGAACAAUUGGAGGGCAAGUCUGGUGCCAGCAGCCGCGGUAAUUCCAGCUCCAAUAGCGUAUACUAAAAUUGUUGCGGUUAAAAAGCUCGUAGUUGCACCUGUGCGCCGCGCUGUCGGUGCACCGCAUCCGCGGUGACCACUGGCACGUCGCGGGGCAUCGCGUCGGUGAGACUCCGGUAAAACGGAGGCUCAAUUGAAACAAUCCUAUCGCGGUGCUCUUAACCGAGUGUCGAGGUGGGCCGACAAUACUUACUUUGAACAAAUUAGAGUGCUCAAAGCGGGCUAAAAACGCCGCUCGAAUAUUUUUUGCAUGGAAUAAUGGAAUACGACCUCGGUUCUAUUUUGUUGGUUCUCGGAAUCCGAGGUAAUGAUUAAUAGGAACAACUGGGGGCAUUCGUAUUGCGACGUUAGAGGUGAAAUUCUUGGAUCGUCGCAAGACGGACUACAGCGAAAGCAUUUGCCAAAGGUGUUUUCAUCAAUCAAGAACGAAAGUUAGAGGUUCGAAGGCGAUUAGAUACCGCCCUAGUUCUAACCAUAAACGUUGCCACCUGGCGAUCCGCCGACGUUACUAUNNNGGCUCGGCGGGCGGCCUCCGGGAAACCAAAGUUUUUGGGCUCCGGGGGGAGUAUGGUUGCAAAGCUGAAACUUAAAGGAA